rnacentral:rRNA from 1 species
UAACGCGUGGGUAACCUGCCCUUUUGUGGGGGAACAACUUCGAGAAAUCGGAGCUAAUACCGCAUAAUAAUAGAGGAUCGCAUGAUUCUUUAAGGAAAGAUGGCCUCUGAAGAUGCUAUCGCAAAAGGAUGGACCCGCGUCUGAUUAGCUAGUUGGAAGGGUAACGGCCUACCAAGGCAACGAUCAGUAGCCGGCCUGAGAGGGUGAACGGCCGCAUUGGGACUGAGACACGGCCCAAACUCCUACGGGAGGCAGCAG